rnacentral:rRNA from 1 species
UGCCCUAGUAACGGCGAGUGAAGCGGCAACAGCUCAAUUUGAAAUCUGGCUUCGGCCCGAGUUGUAAUUUGUAGAGGAAGCUUUUGGCAAGGCACCGACUGAGUCCCCUGGAACGGGGCGCCAUAGAGGGUGAGAGCCCCGUAUAGUCGGACGCCGAGCCUCUGUAAAGCUCCUUCGACGAGUCGAGUAGUUUGGGAAUGCUGCUCAAAAUGGGAGGUAAAUUUCUUCUAAAGCUAAAUAUUGGCCAGAGACCGAUAGCGCACAAGUAGAGUGAUCGAAAGAUGAAAAGCACUUUGAAAAGAGGGUUAAAUAGCACGUGAAAUUGUUGAAAGGGAAGCGCUUGUGACCAGACUUGCGCCUGGCCGAUCAUCCGGGGUUCUCCCCGGUGCACUCGGCCAGGCUCAGGCCAGCAUCGGUUCUCUUGGGGGGACAAAGGUCCCGGGAACGUAGCUCCCUCCGGGGAGUGUUAUAGCCCGGGGCGUAAUGCCCUCGAGGGGACCGAGGACCGCGCUUCGGCAAGGAUGCUGGCGUUACGGUCAUCAGCGACCCGUCUUGAAACACGGACCAAGGAGUCAAGGUUUUGCGCGAGUGUUUGGGUGUAAAACCCGCACGCGUAAUGAAAGUAAACGUAGGUGAGAGCUUCGGCGCAUCAUCGACCGGCCCAGAUGUUCUCGGAAGGGCCUGAGUAGGAGCGUUAAGCCUUGGACCCGAAAGAUGGUGAACUAUGCUUGGAUAGGGUGAAGCCAGAGGAAACUCUGGUGGAGGCUCGCAGCGGUUCUGACGUGCAAAUCGAUCGUCAAAUCUGAGCAUGGGGGCGAAAGACUAAUCGAACCAUCUAGUAGCUGGUUAC